rnacentral:rRNA from 1 species
GAUGAACGCUGGCGGCGUGCCUAAUACAUGCAAGUCGAGCGAACAGACGAGGAUCUUGCGCCUCUGACGUUAGCGGCGGACGGGUGAGUAACACGUGGAUAACCUAUCUAUAAGACUGGGAUAACUUCGGGAAGCCGGAGUUAAUACCAGAUAAUAUAUUGAACCGCAGGGUUCAAUAGUGAAAUAUGGUUUUUCGGUCACUUAUCGAUGUAUCCGCGCCGCAUUAGCUAGUUGGUAAGGUAACGGCUUACCAAGGCAACGAUGCGUAGCCGACCUGAGAGGGUGAUCGGCCACACUGGGACGGAGACACGGUCCAGACGCCUACGGGAGGCAGCAGUAGGGAAUCUUGCGCAAUGGGCGAAAGCUUGACGGAGCAACGCCGCGUGAGUGAUGAAGGUCUUCGGAUCGUAAAACUCUGUUAUUAGGGAAGAACAAAUGUGUAAGUAACUAUGCACGUCUUGACGGUACCUAGUCAGAGAGCCACGGCUAACUACGUG